ACACCCAGACGCCUGCCUUU
rnacentral:misc_RNA from 1 species